GCACCACAACAGGUGGAGCCUGCGGUUUAAUCGGGACUCAACGCCGGGAAACUCACCAAGAUAAGACAGCUGAAUGAUAGUCGGGCUGAAGACUCUACUUGACUAGCUGAGAGGAGGUGCAUGGCCGUCGUCAGUUCGUACUGUGAAGCAUCCUGUUAAGUCAGGCAACGAGCGAGACCCACGCCAACAGUUGCCAGCUCGUCUCCGGGAUGGUGGGGACACUGUUGGGACCGCCUCUGCCAAAGAGGAGGAAGGGAUGGGCAACGGUAGGUCAGCAUGCCCCGAAUUAUCUGGGCUACACGCGGGCUACAAUGGGUGGGACAAUGGGUAUCGACACCGAAAGGUGAAGGCAAUCUCCUAAACCCAUCCGUAGUUCGGAUUGUGGGCUGCAACUCGCCCACAUGAAGCUGGAAUCUGUAGUAAUCGUGUCUCAAAAUGGCACGGUGAAUAUGUCCCUGCUCCUU
rnacentral:rRNA from 1 species